GGCAAAGAUCCAGGACAAGGAAGGAAUCCCUCCGGACCAGCAGCGUUUGAUUUUCGCCGGAAAGCAGCUUGAGGACGGCCGAACACUAGCCGACUACAACAUUCAGAAGGAAUCCACGCUCCACCUUGUGCUCCGUCUCAGAGGAGGUGCCAAGAAGCGUAAGAAGAAGACCUACACCAAGCCCAAGAAGAUCAAGCACAAGCACAAGAAGGUGAAGCUCGCCGUCCUUCAGUUCUACAAGGUCGAUGACUCUGGAAAGGUGCAGAGGCUUAGGAAGGAGUGCCCUAACGCUGAGU
rnacentral:lncRNA from 1 species